UACAGAGGUCCCAAGCGUUGUUCGGAUUCAUUGGGCGUAAAGAGCUCGUAGGCGGCUCGGUAAGUCGGAUGUGAAACCUCCAGGCUCAACCUGGAGACGCCAUCUGAUACUGCCGUGGCUUGAGUCCGGUAGAGGAGCAGGGAAUUCCUGGUGUAGCGGUGAAAUGCGCAGAUAUCAGGAGGAACACCAGCGGCGAAGGCGCUGCUCUGGGCCGGUACUGACGCUGAGGAGCGAAAGCGUGGGGAGCGAACAGG
rnacentral:rRNA from 1 species